rnacentral:lncRNA from 1 species
UGGUUUUUAUCUUUAUUUCUUUUUCUUAGCUGGUCAACAUGCAAGCCGAAACAAAUAAAUAUUCGCAUAGCACGUAGGAUGCAUCAGGAGGGUCUUUAUUUUAGGUAACCCUAUCCUAGACGGACCCAACAUGUGUUGUCUCCAAGGCCAAAUACACGAUAUGCAAAUAAACAUUCCUACUAGGAAUCCGGCAUGAGGUUACGUUAUUCUAAUUUUAAAUAUGGGGUUGUAUUCUAGGUCUGGCUUACCCGAGCUGACAAACUCAAGUCGAUGAGGGGCAAUGUACGGGGAUCACGAAAGUUUGCCCAGCCUUGUUUCUUGACUAGCCCCGUUCUAUUUGGGUAUAACUCUAACAGAAAGUGGGCUACGUGAACAUGAGCACCAUUUUUUAGAAGACUCAUAAGGGAGGCGUAAGAAGACAUUUAUAUACAGUUCAAUAAUAUCAAAGCGGUAAAUAAACAGCAAUUAGCACAUUAAGUUCACAAAAUACAGUAAUAUCAACAAUAAAGCCAAAUAAAAAUCACGGUAAAAAGCUCAAAUUCUUGAAACCUGAACUAGAGAUUCUGGGUUCGAUCCCCAUCAGAGUUGUGACACCUCUUUUUUUACCACCCAAGAGGGGGUAUAAGGAAGUUUUUUCAAUUAAAGUUAUAUUGUUCGAAAUGGGAUUAUUUUAUUUAUUUUCUUCAGAGCUGCCACUUGAAAUAGUUUAUUUGGUAUCCCAAGUCACCGGUUAUUUUAAAUCCCAAAUCGAGGAAGUUUCGACUUUAUUUAAAAGUCUGCAAACCAGAACUAAGUAAGAAUUUUGUUAACCGGAAGAGACAUUUUCGGGUUUUGUGGUUCUAGCACGGUCGCUUAGCAAUUUAUACUUGUCUUAAAUUAUUUAACUACUUAUUUUUAGGACCUAUAUAUAUUUAUCUUUCAGCCGCUUUAAUCACUUGAUAUGUUCGCAAUUAAAGAAUUAACUUAAUAUGAGUUACGUGUAUAUAUACUCGUUUCUUUUGGUGCAUCAAAAAUUGUGUCACGCAUACGUGUCCACAAUUAAUCACGUUUUAUUUAUUUUAUUGAAAACGGUUUGCUUGAAGUUGUGAGAACGCAUCCCUCGAGUUAUCUUUUCUUAGAGUUAAAUUUGCAAUUAUGUUUCGCGAACGUAUACAUAAUCACAAUAAUAGUCUAAGUCGAGCCUAGAGCAAACUACGAAUAUUCAUUUUUUUAAAUCGUAAUUAUGUCACACGAAAGUGUAUACAAUUAACAACAUUUUAUUAUUAUGGAGAUUGUUUGGCCCAAAGUUGCGCGAACGCAUACUUUGGUCUUAAUUUUUGGAACCCGUAAUUAUGUCAUGCAAAUAUCAAAAAUCUAAUGAUUGUCUAUCUGGUGUGGCCGGCCUGAACAUGCCUCCAACGUACGAUUAAUGAAAGCAAAAUAAUAGCAUAUCAUCUUUUAUUUUAAUACCCAAUUCCAUUGCCUAAUUUUAAUUAAUAGGUCGAUUUAACUCAAGAGACCAAAAUAUUAAACAUCACAUGUUAAAUCUAUAUGUUAAUGGAGCAACAAUACAAGGAAACCAAACUCAUCUCUUAAUCGUGAAAAUCUACCCAAGAAGCUUAAACCAAACCAUUACAAAUAGCAAAUAGCAAAAAAAAAGUAAUACAAACAAAAUGCUAGUAAGCCACAUUCCAAAACAAAGGAAUGAAACAUUAACCCAUACCUUUUUUUCACAAAUUCUCUCCGUACUAAGCGAUUCACUGCUACAGUGCCACAGCAGUGUUCAAAUGCACGUUUCUCCGUCGUCCACUGGUGAAAAACCACCGGACCAACGCCAAAAUGUGCAGAAUACAAUGCGCACCUCCUCCAACAAACCUCACUCCAAAACUCCAUCCCAGUCGUAACAGAUGUCCAAAAAGGUGCUGCGAUCACUUUUCAUAAAAAUCGGGUGGGAACUUCAGAAAUUUCCCACGUUUUUUUGGGUCAAAUUUUGAUAAUCCAAACUGUAGAUAUUACUCCCCAUCUCAAAGUUCCCCUCCCCUCCAAAAAUAUGACAAUUCUACAGUGGGAAUCGCCGGCAAAGACCAACUAAAAUUUUUCGGUGUUGCAGAAAUAGCCAGAGCAAAAGUUCUAGCUGGCAAAAUUGAAAAACCUUGUUACCAAAAUGCUCCUCUUAAUGAGGAGCGCAGGUUUACAGCUCCAAUUUCACAUGGGUAUCAACCAAUCCCUUCAAUUUUUCAAUCAUCUUCUCCAGCUCAACUGUCAUCCCAUGGUGUUCGACAAAAUGAAACUUUCAAUUCUGGACCAAUUCAAGUGCAACAACGACGCACAAUUGAUUCUACAUCACCUAAGGAAUAGGUAUGCAAACAUUCACUCAAUUCUAACAUGGGAAUUGAUCAGAUAGAUCAUGGGGAAACUCAGUUGUUGGUCAUUUGCUCGGAAAUGAUGGCCCAGGGAUAAUUGAAGCUCCAUACCAAUGCCAUUCUAUUCCUACACAUCGGGCGAGUAUUUCCAACCCGUCAGAACAAAUUUUACAGGGGUCUAUCUCUUCGAAUAUUAUAAAAGGUAUCUUUGAACAUUGUCCAUCCAAGAAUGUUCGACCAAAUUUCAAUGUUCAAUCCAGCCCUAUUCAAAUGAGUUUGUUGAUGAGAGAUCAAUCCUUAGUGCCUUUGGAGUACACGCACUAAGUUUCACACCAAUUGAUUGAUAGGAAUAAAACUUCUACAUUUUUGAAUGCUCUAGUUCUUCAUCAGUUGGUAGGGCAGGGUGAUCAGGCAAACCAAUUAAUCCAAAACUAAUGCCAAAUUGUUCCCUCACCUCAAAAGAUUGUUCCUAAGCCUUCAAACCAAAUUUACAUGAGCCGAACUCCUCAAAUCUAAAAAAUAGUCUUCUAGUGCACUGUAGCACUCAACAAGUCCCUGUUGCAGCACCUCAACAAUCCUAACCUUGAGCCUAUCCAAACUAAGCACAACACCAAAACCCCCAAACCUUAGUCCAUGCUAACAAGUCUCAUCCCUCAGUUACAUCUGUACCCAUACAGAUCAAUGCACGCAUAACCUCCUUACCAGCCCCAGCUCCUAUUCCAAGUGCAAACCCCUUAAUAAAAAUAUCUUCCAAUUUUGAUAGGCCAAAAUAUUCCAAAAAUCCUCACAAAAUACCAACCAACACCACACCCCCAAUUCAGCCCAAUAAAUAGACCCCUUGCUCUUUCUUCCACACCUCAAAAUAAAAUUAAUCCCACCAAAAGCACACCGGCAACACACCUCCACCACUCCCACUAUCACUCACUCAUUUGUCAACAGACUCAGAGGUAGACAUGAGGCAGAGAUAAAAACCAAUUGCUUUCACCCCUCCAAUAAUAACCACCAAACAAGGCCAACCUGUUUUUGUCUUCAAGAAGGAAGAUUACAUGGUGAAAUUUGCUGUUAUGUGCAAAUACACUGUAGUGGGUAAAUUUUCUUAUACUAUGCCUAGAAUGGAAAUGAUUAAGAAAAGCUUCAUUGCCAAACUGAGCUUAGAGGUGGAGUAAAGAUAGCUCAUUUCAAUUCUAAGACAGUUUAUAUUGAUCUGAAUAAUGAGUAUGAUCACUCUACUGUUUGGGGCAAACAACACAUGUAGAUUCAAGGGCAAAUGAUGAAAAUUGAAGCAUGGACCCCUGCAUUCAAGCCUAAUGAGGAUUCCACUAUUAUACCAAUAUGGGUAGUUAUCUCUGAACUACCAUGGCAUCUUUACUAUAUGGAAAUCCUCACACCUCUACUCUCCCCAAUUGGCAAAGCUAUAUAUUUUGACCUAGCAUCUUUUCAGAAAACAGGGGGAAGUGUUGCUAAGGUUAACAUUCAAAUUAUUCUCACAAAGGGAAGGCCCCAUCAUGUGUGGCUUGGAUAUGAUGAUAAGCAAGAUGAGAAUGGUGAUGGUGAAUGGUUAGAAGUUCAAUAUAGGAGUAUUCCUGCUUACUGUGUCCAUUGUAGACAUCUGGGCCAUUCAGAGUACAACUGUGAAACUAGACUUCAAGAAGAGGAGAAAAAGAAAAAGAAGGAAGAAAUUGCUGGAACAGCACAGUCUCAGGCUACCAAUCAAAGGAAACAAAAUGAAGAUGCAGGAACAAGCAAAAACCAAAAAGAAAGAACACGGGGGACCAUCAAAAAUAAAUGCACCUGACCAAAAGAAAACCAACCUGGAAGCAGAACAUCAAGAAAAUAUUAAUAAUCAAAAUACAGUUGCUGAGAUUUCAAAUGAGGAAUGACAAACCCAAAAAAGAAAGAACUUCAAAGACACCUACCAAAAUAAAAAAACAACAAGAGGUGUACAUUCCAAAAUGUCACACAACACAACAACAACAUUUGGUCGCAUCAAAUGAUAUUCAAAAAAUGGUCAACCAAUCCUCAGGUAUGUAUUCUAUGAAUCCUCCAACCUCACUGGAGAGGAGUGUUGAUUCUGGUGCCUAGAAUCAUCCCAUCACCUUGGCCCCCUCAUCCCCUUCCCCCCUUGUUGUUGUUUAUGAAGUUUCUGGAGAAAAGGUGGUCUGUCAGGAGAAACCAAUAUAAAUUCAGGUUGGGGAUCCUAAAGGGGUGGGUGUUCCUCAUGCUAUGCAUGAGUUUGCUUCUGCACAUUUGGAUAACCAUAGGUGGACUCUUAAGCCCCUGCAACCCAUGUUACUCAAAAUGUUCAACCCCCAAUAGUUGCUGAUAAUCAGAUGGAAUCACAAGAGGUUAUGAGUUCUAGUAAGGAUCAACAUUCUCACAUGAGAGCCUUGCUCAAAGGCAAAGGUAAUGUUGUCUCUUCUUUCAAGAUACAUCCUCCCAAAUCAAAAAAACAAGACAAGUAAGAAAAAGAGAGGCAAUGAAAAGGAAAAAUGCUAGAAUUAGCAUCAAAGAGCCAUCAGAUAAGCAAGGUCCUUUGUUAUAAUCUGGAGGCAUCUCUGGUUCUGUAUCUGAUAAAUCCAACUCUCCCAGCAAUCCCAGAGAUAUCCCAACCAUUGUCAAUCCCUCUCUCUAUCCCAACCUCUUCUUAGUAACCAUGACAAUAGUGACAUUGACAACCCAAACAAUGAGACUACCUCUUCCUUAAUGCAGACUAAUCCACAAAAUCCUAAAAUUCCCAUACCCCCACAAGCCCCAGUCCACAAUGAACACCUCAUUCAUCCUUUAGAACCUAUUCCUGAAGAGUUCCCACUCAACAAAAAUUCUCCUUGGGAGGAUGAAUACAGGCCCAUUCUAUUUGAGGAUAAGAUAAGAGGUGAUUUUGAGGAAGACGCAGAAGAUGCGGAUAUUAAUGGUCAAUCAGAAGAAGACCAACAUUGUGAUCUCUUGAUAUCGGCUGUGAAUGGCUCCCUUAGUCAAGAUGAAACCAUGAACUCUAAAAAGUAAGCCUCCAGAACAAGAUAUCUCCAAGAAUAACUAGAAAGAAGGAUGUUUCCAGCGGCAGUGUCCCACCAAACCACAAACUCCGCUCCUAUUUUUAAUGAUUAGCACACAUACAUGGAAGAGCCAUUGAAAGGCUAAAAAUCCGUAGAAAACUCCACAAAAUAUCUCCAACUUUCCAUGAUACUCACCUUAACCACUUCAAAAUCCAACUCUCCAUGCACAUUCCAGUCUCUAAUAUCAAUAAUAAAAUUUGGAUUUUAUGGGAUCAAGACUUGUCUGGCACUGUUAUUGACUCUGAUGAUCAACAAGUCACCUUGGAGUUGAGACAUGUUGAAGCUAGGGACUCUGUCCACAUCUUUGUCAUCUAUGCUAAACGUAAACCUCUCCUGAGAAGACCUCUUUGGGAAAAUCUCAGGCUCAAAUCUGUAGCCAUCUCCACCCAUUGAUGUGUUAUUGGGGACUUCAAUGUAAUUGCUUCAAUUGAAAAGAAAAUUGGAGGCCUCCCAUACCAGAUCAACCAAAGCAUUGACUUCCUAAGUAUGAUGGAAGAUUGUGGGCUCACUGACCUUGGCUUUUAUGGUCCAAGGUAUACCUGGUCUAAUGGAAGAGGGCCAUGUGCUAUAGUGUGGAAGACACUAGAUAGAGCUCUAGUCAAUGAGAGUUGGCUGACUUCCUUUCAAGCUACCACCAUCUCUCAUCUUGCCUCAGCAGGUUCAGGUCAUUCCCCCAUUCUUUUAGAAAUGCGUGUAAGACCUGAUUCAGCAAAAAGAUACUUUAAAAUUUUGAACUACUGGAUUGAAAAUGAAACAUUCAUCCCACUUGUCCAAUAUGUCUAGUCUAAACCAUUCCAAAGGAAUCCAAUGUGGAUAUUUCAUCAGAAAAUUAAAGCCCUUUGCACUAAACUUAGCAAAUGGUCAAGGCAAUAAUAGGCUGACAUCUUUCAGAAGGCCAAACAGUUUGAGGAUAAAGUUAGGAAAGCAGAGGAAACAUGGACUCAAACAAACACUGAUGUUGAUAGGGAUAACCUCAUCAUCUCACAACCCAGUAUACUAAAUACCUCAAGAUCGAGGAAUCCAUGUUGAAGCAAAAAACUCAAUGUAAUGGUUCAAAGAAGGGGAUGCUAAUUCUAAAUACUUCCACAGCUUGAUCAGAAGCAGAAGGAGAAAAUUGUUUAUCCACAAGAUCAAAGAUGAAAAAAUAACUAGAUCCAAGGUGAUGAAAACAUUGGUGAAGCCACUUGUACCCACUUCCAGAACAUCUUUACUGAUCCUGGGUGUAGAAUCAGGGAGGAUCUUUUAUCUUAUAUCCUAACCCUAGUUACUGAUGAUGAUAAUGAACCUUUGAACAAAGAACCUUCUAUGGAGGAACUCAAAGAGGUAGUCUUUUCCAUGAUCCCCACUAGUGUUGCUGGUCCUAAUGGCCUAAAUGGAAAAUUUUAUCAACAUUGUUGGGAGAUUAUUAAGAAGAAUCUAUUCAGUGUAGUCACAUACUUUUCUUAGGUUACUCUAUGCCCAAAUACAUGUCCCAUGUCUGCCUAGUCCUCCUCCCAAAGGUUGAAUUCCCUAACUCCCUCUCUAAAUUCAGACCAAUUAAUUUGAGUAACUUCAUAAAAAAGUCAUCUCCAAAUUAAUUUGUUCCAGUCUUGCUCCAAUUCUCCCCAAAAUCAUCUCACCCAACCAAACUAGUUUUGUCAAAGGCAGGAAUAUUUUAGAAAACAUCAUGCUAGCUCAAGAGAUUGUUCAAGUCAUUAAGAAACCAAAUGUUAGAACUAAUGUGGUGAUCAAACUAGACAUGUCAAAGGCAUAUGAUAGGGUUUCCUGGUCCUUCACUUGCAUUAUGAUGAGAAGAUUCGGUUUCAGUGAAAGACUAAUUGAUAUGAUUUGGAGGACCCUUUCAAAUAACUGGUAUUAUGUGAUCAUCAAUGGUACAAGAUGUGGAUUUUCUUCAAAUCCCUCUCUACCAAAACUCCCAAAUCCCUGACCAUCCAAUUUGGAAACCCAAUGCUUCUGAUACCUUUACAUGUGUAUCUGCUUGGGAGGUUGUUAGAACCAAAAGGCCAAUCCUUGUUACCAAUAAAAUGACAUGGCACAAGAAAAUUCCCUUCAAAUGGUCCUUUUGUCUAUGGAGAGCCCUUAGGAAUAAACUUCCUACUAAUGAUAGAGUAGCCAGGUUUGGAUCUCCUUCUGUCAACAGAUGUGUUUGCUGCAUUAAUUCCCAGGCUGAAUCUGUUGACUAUAUUUUUAGCAGAGGUCAUUUUGCUAAGGCUGUUUGAAAACUUUUCACUAGCCCUGUUGGUUUCCUUUUUGAAGAAAUGCCUCUCUAAAACCUUCUAAUGAAAUGGUGGAUUCAAAAGCCCAGAAAUGUAAUCCACAAAUUGCUCUUGGACACUUUCCCUAUUAUCAUCUGCUAGAAUCUCUGGAAGAACAGAUGUGGAGCAAAACAUGGCGACAAACAUUCUUCCAUGGCCAGAUUUGUUUUCUCCAUUAACUGACAUUAACCUUCUCCUCAAAAUCACCUACCCUAAUAUCACUUGGCCAUCUAAAUGGUCUGGGAUUUGCUCCUUAAUUGAGAGUUUGAAUUUUCUCACCAAAACCACCCAGGUCUGCUGGUAAAGACCUACCCUUGGUCUUGUCAAAAUUAACAGUGAUAGAAGUUCCUUGAGUAACCCAGGAAGAAUGGGAGCUGGGGCCAUCAUCAGAAAUCAUCAAGGGGACUUUAUUCAUGCCAUUACUAGCCAUUUAGGUGAAGAAACAAAUAACCUUGUUGAAACUGAAGCUGCUUUUUUAGGGGUCAAGUGGUGCAUUGACAAUUGUUUUUCCAAAGGUAAAGGACAUGAUAAAAUUGCUUUUUUUGUACAUGAAAACGAAGAAGUAGAUGAAAUCAAAGAAUAUCGAUCUGCUAGAUGGGUAACACCUCCAGAAGCAGCAUGGCGUUUGUUUGAUUUUCCUAUUAAUGAAAUGACUCCGAG